rnacentral:lncRNA from 1 species
UUGGAUAGAAAUAAUUAACUUUCUUUUAAUGCUUGGAGAAGAAAUAGUAUAGCGAGACAUUAGAAGAGAGGUGAAAGCUCCUAGUUAAGUUUCGAGGUGAAAAUAUGAAAGAGGAACGAGAACAUUAAUAUAACUCCAGAUCAUACAAUCACUCUGCAAAUAAUUUCUUUGGUUGGUAACAAAAUACCAAAAACAUUUCCAGUUCAGGAAAGAAAAACCAUAAUCAGACUACACUAUAAAGAAUUAAUUCAUUAGUAUCAAUCCCGGAACCAAGUGGCUUGCGGAGAAACCAACCCCCCGCCGCCGACAAAUCUCCGCCAGCGCCACCGCCGGAGAUGCCACAAAAUUGGUGGCCAAACAGGUGGAGAUGGUGGUCGUCGUGGUGGUGGUCUUCUUCAUCGUGCCUGCUUGGAGGAUGAUAGUACAUCCUCGAUGUUUGAGGGCAGUGGGAGUUGAAUCUGGCUGCCAUUCAUUCCAGCGUCUAAAAGCUCUAUGUAUUUCCCCAUCUCUCAAUUUCUUCCCAAAAUUCUCUGGGAGAAAAAUGAAAGAGAAAAGAAAAUCUGCUAAAAAUUAUCCCAAACGUCAGAGCCCAUUAAAAAUGGAGGAGGAGACUUAGAGAUGAAUGAAAAGUUAAACCCUUGCUUGCAUUUAUAUAGUUCCUUCUUUCCUACUUGAUGUUCCUUGAGCUUUCCUUUCACGCGUUUAUUUUAGUUCACUGAUUCUAAAAUAUCGGAGUAAUUUUAAUUUUCAAUGACCACAAAUACUUUUUCUUUUCUUAUUACCCUUUUAUCAAAGGAGAGAAUAUUGGGGAAAUAAUGAUAAACUGAUACUAAUAGAAUAUUUAAGAUUAACGUUUUUAGGGCUGCAAAUGGUGGCAAUUAUUUUAAUGCAAUAUUGGAAUAAUUCCUUGUCCCUUGAAAAACAGUGCGUCUCCCCUGCAAGUGGGAAAAGUCAACUUAGUAACAGCUCAUACAAUAAUAAUGUUGAAAUCUUACAUUUUGAUUUAAUUUUAAGCAAUCAAUUAAAACUAGAAUUAUUCGAACAGUCACUUGACUCUUCAAAUGGUUUGAGCUAUGAAGUUCUCAAAGAACGAAGAAUAAACUUUUGAAAUAAAAGAAGGAAACAAGUCUACUUGAAAAAUUAAUCUUUAGGUUUCCUAGUCAAGUGGUGAGCCAAUAAGAUUACUUCUAUAUUUUACUAUAUAUUUGUUUACCCUAAAAUAUGAGUAAAAAUUGUGGUUUUAAAGAUAUAUGAUUUAGUCCAAUACCAAUUGAUAAACAAGGAAUUAAAUGUCUAAAUUGAAGAAAUAAAGCAAGUCAAAUCAGUGUGCAAACCAAGUCUUGACCUCGAGUUACGGUGGCCUCGAGGUAUGUUAGCAAGAACAACAAAAUUGUAAGGCAACUCUGAUGAAUAGUAAGCAAGAAAAUGUAGAAUGUAUAUUUCUUUGUCAAUGAAUCGUGUGUUACAAAUGAAUGGGCUCCCCUUUAUAUAGUAGGGGGUCCUAAAUAAGGUACACUUCUAAUUACAGUAAGGAAUCUUAUAUGAUAGUUGUCUAACCGCCAAGUACAAAUUCGUUCCGGAAUUUACGCUGGGAUCUUCGGGCCGUUGUGGGAAUCUCGCUCUUUCUGUUAUUAAACCAUAAUGGUAUUAUCUCGAGGUUGGUCAUACUCGGCCUUGGUUUUCAACAAGCACUUCUAUCUUCAAGUUCUAUACUCCGCCAUCGGGCUCGAGCCUGGUUUGAUUUGAGCUUUCUCUCAAAGCAGCUCCCCGAGCCUAUGAAAUGGGGAACACCUGAUUUUGAUCGUAUAUAAAUAGUCCCCUCGUUUCUUAGAAUAAGAUGAUAAGAAACGGUUUGAGCCUCGAUUUUCCGGAGCCCCUGAUGAUGAAGUCAUCCCCGUGAUGUAAGCGCUCCAAGUAACCGAAAUAUCCCGUCGGUUAGCUUCCCCAAAACAUUAAAUGCUUGCCAGUAGCGGCCGGCCACUAGCGCCGUUGAACCGUCAUCGUUUGCUUAUAAAUACAAGGCUCCUUAUUUGAAUCAAAAACUUUACUUCCAUCUUCAAACAUCCCUAAUUUCUCCCCCUCUUCAUCUUUCUCUCUUACUACCUGUUAUUCCCACCCUUUUAACACCGAAAGAUCUCAAACUCCACCUCUUUCUGCUUCCUCUAACCUAAAUCAAUGGCAAAAACCUCCAAAACCGUUCCUCAAAAGGAGAAAGCUUACUCCUCCUCUUCCUGGCCGGUCAGCGAUAAAGCGCCGGCCCUUCACGAGAUUAUUCCCGACCCUUAUGUCAUAAAGAAAGACUUCAAAGUUGAAAAUACCCCUGCGAUUCCUGGCCAAUGUGAGCAUGUAUCGAGGUAUAUUUGCUCGAUAACGGAGAAGAACCUCGAGUCCAUGAAGAGGGAUUGUGGCUGGGGGAAUGAGGUCGUGGUACAAAUCCCGCCCCCGAGGAGAGUAUCACCACUCAUAUGGGGGGUUUCUAAGUGGUUACACUUACCCCUUCACACUGGGUUUCAUCGAUCAAUUCGUGAUCGGCUUUUGCAAGAGGUAUCAGGUCACCCUCAGCCAGAUCCACCCUUCUUUCUGGUGCAUAAUGAUCAUGUUUCGCUAUUUCUCCAGCAAGUCCGAGGGGCUAGAGUUCACCCUCAAUCAUCUUAUUUGAUUGUAUCGAUCUCAACUUUUCCAAGGGUAUAUCAAGCUCCAAUAUCAAUCGACCAAGGCCUUCUUUGCUAGCAACGACGAGGAUAAGGAUCGGGGAUGGAUGAGCCGGUUCGUGCGAGUGAGGACCUGCGACAUCAUCCCCGAGGAGAAAAUUCCAUUCCCAGAGAAGUGGAACCUCGAUCGUAAAGGAAUUUUUUUUCCGAGUAGCCUUUUGUAUUCCGUUUUUGCAUUGCGUGAUGCCUUGGUCUUUUUUGCAGCAGCUGCUUGGAUGCCCCAUGUGGUCGCCAACCUCGAAGACUGGGUUCGGAAACCAGUUGCGGCCUCCUCGUAUGACGAGCUCAGCUGGCGUGACAUGGCGAGGGGCAAAUGGAAAGCCAAACACCACAGUAAGUUCUUUUUGUAAGUUUUUGAUGCUUUCCCCUUUAUCGGAGAUGUUUCUUUACUCAUACCUCAUUUUCAUUCAUGCAGGCAUCGGAGAUAUCUUUGAAAUAAGGCCAACCCCGCCUGGGAAGGAGACCGAGUCCCCGAUUCCAAAAUCGGGGAAAGAUAAUAAGAGGAAAAGGGUUUCGAAGCCCGAAGAUCCCCAAGAUAAAAGGGGUCCUACUCGAAGAUGCAGGAGGAAUCUCAUUCCUGUGGAUAUAGAUUCAGUCCACCUACUGAAUAAUAAAGAAGAAAAUGAGGGUGAAGAUUCGGCGCUGGUGACCCGAGCCAGGAAGCCAGUUCAAGCUGCCAAGCCCUCCGAACCGGAGAUCCUGCCUCGUGGUGAUGAAGCUUCGAAGAAAGACGUGGGCAAAGCCCCCUCAUCGCCCGAGGUCGAGAUUGUUCCUCGGUCAUCAACAAGCACACCGAAGGGGACAGGUUCUGAAACCCCCAAGGCUGAACAGAAUGCCCCGAGUGAUUUUCUCAGGGCCAUGACAAUAGGUCACUCUCCCCCUCUACCGGAUUAUUCCGAGGAGGCCAUAAGGGAGGCUCGGGCUCUGCAAAUGCCUGACUUAAGCGGAGUACCCAGUGAAGAAGAUCCUUUUCGAGAUUGCUUUACCGGGGUCGAUGAUGCCGCCGAUCUCAAUGAUGCAUCUACCCUCUUUGAAGAGGCUCAAUGCCUUUUCUCUCAAGUGAGCAUUAAUUCCUAUCAUUGCAAUUUUCUUUUUCUUCUUCUCCCCUUACCCUAACUGAUAUCAUUUUUCUAUGUAGGCUUUCACCAGGUCUACGGCCGACUUGAGCCACUGCGAGGCCGAGCUCCAGAAUACCUUAGAUGAAAGGAAUGCCCUGAAGCUCCUUUGCAGUCAAAACAAGGAGGAGCUCAAGGACCUUCUGGUAGACUUGACCAAGGCUCGUAAAGAUGAGGUCGAUCUAGACAAGCAGGUAACUCUCAUUUUGAAAGAGUAUGGUCUACUCGAUCCAACUAUGGAGGAUAAUACUUCACUGUCUCAGCUACAGCAAAAACUGGAUAGAAUCGAGCUGCUUCGAGGGGAGGUCGAGCAGGUCAAGGCAGACUGCAACCGGUGGAAGUAGAAUAUGGAACGCCUUGCUGCGGAGAAGGAGGCUGCUUUAGCCAAACUGGCAUCGACUGAGGCCUAACUCUGGGGUGCUAAAGAGAAAAGUUCAGCUCAGGCCAAAAGGAUCGACGAGCUCGAGGUCAAGCUUGUUGAGGCCAAGGCUGAGGUCAAGAAGACGAAGGUCACCGCUGAUAAAACCUUUGCCGUGUAUUAAGUGAUGCUAAGGCUGCUCAAACGGAGCUAAGGUAAGCCUCCGAUCGAUAGUGAUGGAGUAAUGAUUUGGCCAAGUACCAAUCCCUAAGGGAGACCCUCGAGGAAAUCCACGCUCGAGGUUUCGACCUCACUGAAGAGAUAGCUCAAGCAAAGGCGCUCGAAGCUGAUGCUGAUGAUGAAGGCAGCCAAGGUGGGUAUGACAAUGAAGAGGGGCCCGCAGAGGAAGCUGCUCCCAAGGGAUAAACCAGCCCCGAGCAUAGCUACAACAAAAACAAUAACAACAACAACAACGGCCCAGUAUAAUCCCACAAGUGGGGUCUGGGGAGGGUAAUAUGUACGCAGACCUUACCCCUACCCCGAGGGGCAAAGAGGUUGUUUUCAUGAGACCCUCGGCUCAAUAAAGCAACACGAGAUGAUAUAUUAGUACCAUCAAUAGACGAUAUAUUAGCCCCGAACAUAGCUAGAAUUUUUCUUUUUCUUUUUGUAUUUUUCUUUUUCUUUUUGUAAGACCCCUUGUCGGUCCCUUGUACAUAUCUUUUUCCAAAUAUAUAUAAAAGAAAAUUUUCCUUGAAUGCCUUCUCAAUUUUUAUGAACAUGUUUCUUGCCUUGCAAAAUUUUUCGCAUAGUUUCAUGCUUUGAACGGCGUGUUUGAGACUUUGUCUCGGAUGGCUUCCUCGAAGUUGUUAUGGCCGAGUUCGAAUAAGGUUCAAACUUUGGGGCAUAGACCCUGAAGGGCUUGUGCCGGAUAAUGGUGAGUCCCCGAGCCAUAAUUAAGUUAUUAUUUUAUUUGGGCUCGGGAUAAUCGAACCCUUGGGUUCAGAUCAAGUGAGAAAAAGGUCUCGAACCCUAAGUGUAUUGGCCCUUAUGCUCUUUUAGAUUGGGACAUUAUGGCCUCUAAACGAUGGCUAUUAUUUCCCCAUUUUCGGCNNNNNNNNNNNNNNNNNNNNNNNNNNNNNNNNNNNNNNNNNNNNNNNNNNNNNNNNNNNNNNNNNNNNNNNNNNNNNNNNNNNNNNNNNNNNNNNNNNNNNNNNNNNNNNNNNNNNNNNNNNNNNNNNNNNNNNNNNNNNNNNNNNNNNNNNNNNNNNNNNNNNNNNNNNNNNNNNNNNNNNNNNNNNNNNNNNNNNNNNNNNNNNNNNNNNNNNNNNNNNNNNNNNNNNNNNNNNNNNNNNNNNNNNNNNNNNNNNNNNNNNNNNNNNNNNNNNNNNNNNNNNNNNNNNNNNNNNNNNNNNNNNNNNNNNNNNNNNNNNNNNNNNNNNNNNNNNNNNNNNNNNNNNNNNNNNNNNNNNNNNNNNNNNNNNNNNNNNNNNNNNNNNNNNNNNNNNNNNNNNNNNNNNNNNNNNNNNNNNNNNNNNNNNNNNNNNNNNNNNNNNNNNNNNNNNNNNNNNNNNNNNNNNNNNNNNNNNNNNNNNNNNNNNNNNNNNNNNNNNNNNNNNNNNNNGUUUUUUACCCAUUGGAUUUUUUUAGGGUCCGAUGUCGAUUGAGACCCAUUUGCUUUUUGUGCCUUAGCAUGUUUGUGUUAAGGUAAUUUGAUACCUCUUAAGGUUUUUCGAGGUCUGAUUUAUCAAAGUCGCCUUUUUUUAAUCAUUUUGCCAGGGAUAGCCUUUUAACCGGAUUUUCCAAAGUAUUUUAAGGCCUAUUGUUUAUUGCGGGAUCCAGAUGUCUCUGAGCCACGUUAUUUCGACCGUAGCCUUCAAUAUGGCCGUAGCCUUCGGUUAUGCCUAUUGGACUUAUUCCCCAAUAACAUUUUGAACUUGUUCGAAAUGUCAGUCCCCGAGUACAAUGGCCUUGGCCUAUGUGUCGAGGGGUGCCUCUUUGAGGUCUUAUGAAUCCGUGUUUAGAUAACUCGAAUGUGUUGACUGUCGAUGACAGUCCCCGAUGUUGGAGGUGUAUUUGCGUUUGGCCCUUGAGCCAUUUCUCACAAAAUCAUAAAUAUGAAGCUCGUAUAAUAGCAAAUUUCUUUGAGACACAAAGCAUUUGAUAUAGAAAGAAUGCUUCUUUGAAUAGUUCAUACAUGCGUACAUGUUUUGCCAUAGGGAAUCGACUAUUCUAUAUGGACACGGUUCAUCCAAGCAUUUGGCCCAUUACAAGGUUUUCCUAUCAAGACCCUUUGACAUGAAGUAUUUUUCUUGAAAAUAUAACCCCCGAGGUUGAUGCCUCCCAGUAUUCAAGGUUGAUUGAAAAGAAGCCUUGGAUACUGUUGAAUUUUUCUCAGGUAGCACAUAGUUGUUGCCUCGUUAAAAACCUCACCGAAAAAACCCAUUCGGGAUAAAAUCUGAUCUAAGGGAAAAAGAGUGCAAUGCAUACUUUAAAACCUAAGACUUUUGUGUUGAACAGUUUCCUCGAUGCCUCGAUCAAACACCUACAAUAAGGUAGUACUAAAUACAAAUGGGAAAGGGAGAGAGUCAUACCUCAACAAUAAUAUCAUUUGAGUAGUGUUACGUUCCAAUUGUUCGGCAAUUUUUUGCCUUGCAUCAUGCCAAGUUUGUAAGAUCCUUUUCCGAUGACUCGAUAUGGUCCUUCCCAAUUCGGGUCUAGUUUCCCUUUGUUUGGGUCUCAAGUAUUGAGGGUGACUUUCCUUAGAACUAAGAACUAAGUCACCGAUUCCGAAGUGGCGAAGAUUGGCUCUUCUAUUGUAAUAUCUCUUUGAUUCUUUGCCUCGUGAUUUGAUUCCUCUAUUGCAUUUCAAAAUUUGGUGCUAGGUUCCCCAACCUCGGCUGGAAUUAAGGCUUCGGAGCCAUAUACUAAGGAAAAUGGGGUUGCCCCCGUGCUGGACUUCGAUGUCGUUCGAUAUGCCCAAAGAACUUCGGGUAUAACUUCUCUCCAUUUACCUUUAGCGUCGUUCAACCUUUUCUUUAAGUUUUGAAUGAUAUUCUUCUUCAUUGAUUCGGCCUGUCCAUUUCCACUUGGGUGAUACGGCGUUGAUAAGAUCCUUUUUAUUUUGUGUUCCUCUAGGAACUCUGUUACCUUGCUGCCGAUGAAUUGCUAUCUAUUGUCGCAUACGAUUUCAGCAGGUAUCUCGAAUUGACACACAAUGUGGUCCUAGAUGAAGUCUAUAACUUCUUUUUCUCUGACCUUCUCGAAGGCCUAUGCUUCCACACAUUUUGAAAAGUAGUCAAUCAUAAAAAAUAUGAAUUUAGCUUUACCCGGGAUAUGACUGAAUAAAGUUGUUCCCCGGGCUGAUGGAUCAUCGGUGCAAACCUUUGACAUUUAUCAUAUUUUUGAACAAAAUCCUUAGUGUCUUUUUCCAUGCUAUCCCAGUAGUACCCUGCUCUAAUGAUUUUGCGAAUCAAAGAAUCGGCGCCAGAGUGGUUCCCACAAGUGCCUUCAUGAAUCUCUCGUACAACAUAAUCGGUGUCUCCCGGCCCCAAACAUACCUCCAAUGGUCCAUCGAACGUCCUUCUGUAUAAUGUUCCAUCUUCAUCCAACGUGAACGGGCAACUUAGGUUUGUAGGGCCCUCGACUCUUUAGGGUCCGAUAGGAGAUUUCCAUUCUUUAGAUAUUCGAUAUAUUUAUUCCUCCAAUACCAGGUCAAGCCUGUAGAGUUUAUCUCGGCAUGACCCUCCUCGACCAUAGAUCUCGAUAAUUGGACGAUAGUCCCCAGGAUAAUAUCAUCUUCCUAGACUGAUGAUCCCAAAUUUGCAAGUACAUCGGCCUCGCUGUUUUGUUCUCGAGGUACGUGAUCCAGAGUCCACUCCUUGAAGUGGUGCAAAGUCACCUAUAGCUUGUACAAAUACCUUUGCAUUCUAUCAUCUCGAACUUCGAAGCUUUUGUUUACUUGGUUAACCACCAAUAAAGAGUCGCACUUGGCUUCAAUAACUUCUGUCCCCAAGAUUUUAGCUAGCUCGAGACCUGUAAUCAUGGCCUCGUACUCGGCCUCAUUGUUAGUCAACCUAUAAAUUUUGAUAUACUGUCUGAUAGUGCUACCUAUGGGUGGCUUCAAAAUGACGCCCAACCCAGAUCUCUUCACAUUAGAAGUACCGUCUGUGAAAAGGGUCCAUACCCCUAAUGAUGUACCCAACUUUAACAAGAGUUUCUUUUCAACUUCGGGUAUGAGGUUGGCAUGAAAUCGGCCACGAAGUCUGCUAAAAUUUGAGACUUGAUGGUUGUUUGGGGUUGAUACUCGAUAUUGUACCUACUGAGUUUGACGGCCCAUUUGGCUAAUCGACCCGAAAGUUCGGUUUUGAGGAAAACAUUAUGAAGUGGUAAGUGGUUAACACACAUAUUGGAUGAUAGAAGCGCUUAUUAGUGCAAGUGCUAAUUUCUCUAAGUAUGGAUAUCUAGUUUCUACUUCGCCUAAGGUUUGACUUACAUAGUAAAUGGGAAAUUGCGUACCUUGGUCUUCUCGAACUAAGAUGCCACUUACCGUGAUUUCCGACAUCGCCAAGUAUAAGUAAAGUUUCUUAUCUGCUUUCGGGGUGUGAAGCAAUGGUGGGCUCGAUAAAUAUCGUUUUAAUUCCUCUAAUGCUUGUUGGCACUCUGGGGUCCAGGUGAAAUCAUUCUUCUUCUUGAGUAAGGAGAAAAAUCUGUGGCUUCAAUCUGACGACCUCAAGAUAAAUUGACCUAAAGCAGCUAUUCGCCUAGUUAGCCUCUGUACGGCUUUUAUGCUGUCCACGACGGUGAUAUCUUCGAUGGCCUUGAUUUUAUCGGGGUUGAGUUUCAUGUUGUAUUUCCUCAAAAUCUCGAACGUUUCCUGCAAAUGAGCCAAAUGGUCAUCUGCGCGUAGGGACUUAACUAGCAUGUCAUCAAUAUAAACUUCCAUUGACUUACCUAUUUUUUCUUCGAACAUCUUAUUUACUAGGCGUUGGUAAGUAGCUCCUGUAUUUUUUAGCCCAAAGGGCACUACAUUGUAACAAUAUGUUCCAUACUUGGUGAUUAAUGAGGUCUUCUCUUGUUCUUCCGAGUUCAUCUGAAUUUGAUUUUACCCAGAAUAGGUGUCGAGAAAGGUAAGGAUCUCGUGGCCAGCCGUGGCAUCGAUCAUGUGAUCGAUAUUAGGUAGUGGAAAGGAGUCCUUAAGGCAUGCCUUGUUCAAAUCCUUGUAAUCCACACACAUUCUAUGUUUGUUCCUCUUUUUAGAGACUACGACUACAUUGUCUAACCAUUCGGGGCAUUUUACCUCCCGAAUGGACCCUAUUUUGAGAGGUUUAGUUACCUUGUCCUUUAUGAAUGCAUGCUUUACCUCAGAUGGGGCCUUCUCUUUUGUUUCACUGGUUUGUACCUGGGGUCGAGGCUUAGCCAAUGCAUUGUUAUCUCUGGUGGAAUUCUUGUCUUGUCUAAAUGGGACCAAGAAAAAUAAUCUAUGUUAUCGAUAAGAAAUUGAAUAAGCUUUUUCCUGAGUUCGGGGGUUAACCCCAUCCCCAGGUAUACCUUUUCGCUCGGGCAGAUGCUCGAUCAAUAUGACUUGUUCCAGCUCCUCAAUAGUUGAUUUGGUAGCGUCGGAGUCUUCGGGAACGGUAAAAGUUCGAGGAGUCAGAAAAUCCUCCUUUUCUUCUUCUAUCUCCUGCUUUCCCGAUUCGGUCGAGACUGGUGGCUAUGAUUGCUAUUUGGUUUCCUGUCUACCUUUGAUGCUUGACCUUUCCGGAGUUGAUAAUGUCGAUAUCGGUAUAACCUCGUGUUGAUAUACAAUUUUUUCCUAUAUAUUUUCAAUAUGCAAAAUAACUUCAAAAUAGCAUAUAUAUGCAUAUAUAAGCAUGUCCAAGGAUUUUAUUAUUUUUCCACAAUUUUAAAGGUUUUUAAUGGAUUUAUUUCCCCCUUUGUUUGUCCAUAAAAUCCCAAUAAUUAUUUUCAAAAUUUACUAUCUUGAUAAUUCAUCUAUUGGAUUUUUAUAUUUAUGCCAAAAUAUGGCUAAAGGAAUUUUUACAUAUUUUUAUAAUUUCAUUUAGUAUUUUUAAAGCUAAAUUACACAUAAUUGCAAUAUUAGCCAUUUUAAGACUUAAUUGUGUUUUACAUUCAUAAAAUUGAGUCUUGUAUUUUUAUAUGGUUAAUUAUGCACAGAAAAUCAUUUUAGCCAUUUCAAUUUAGUUUUCAGAAACUAUUUACUAUUUUUAUAAAUUUAAAAGGGAAAACUGGCUAUUUAAAUAAUAGCCCCUUUUGCAUUUCAAUUAUAACCUAAAUUGAACCCCAAUUCCCCAGCCCAAUUUUAAUUUAAACCCGACCCUUACCCAAUUAAAUCCUACCUAAACCCGGAUCCCCACCUACCCUUUUUAAUCUAGGCCGUUGAUCAUUCAGAUCAAUGGCCACCGUUCCACCUUACCUUUUAUAACCCAAAAUGACCCAUAACCUAAUUCAUUUGUUACCUACCCACCGCUCUUGAAUCCCCUCUCCUCUCAAACUUUCUCUAAAACCUAAAGCUAAACCUAGCCGCUUCUACCCAAAUCCACCCUAAACCCCUUUGAUUCUCCUCAACCCAUGGGCUCCCAUGGCUGUUUGAGACAUAUACCGGUCUCUUAUGUCUCCUGUGUGCCUGAUUUUGUGAUUUCAUGGAAAGAUCUCGAAGUGAUCUAACCCAGAUCCUACUCGACUUCUAUAUUUGGUCUUUUCCGGCUAUCCAUGGUCGAUUGAGUUAGAUUCAUGGCUUUUCCGGCUAGAUCGGUAACUUUUCGAAGUUUUUCUCACUUUUCUGGGUUCUCUGAAACCCAAACAUAUUAAGAUCUUUCGAUUUUCUUUCAGAUCUACCUUAGAUUUGUGUAUGUGAUGAACCACUUAAGUGUUUUCCUCAAAAAAUUUCCAAUUUCUUUUCCAAGCGACUCUCCGUCUUCAAAAAUUAGAGUUUCUUAAACUCUUUCUUUUAAAAAAUCUCUUCUCUGAUUUUUAGUGUUGCUUUAUGAUUUUACAGUGUUUAAAUGAUUUGUUUACGUUUUUCUUCUACAUGAUUCAACAUGUUGAAAACCCUAAGCAUCUUUGAUUUUAUCCGAGGUUUUGGAACUGCAUUUAUUUGUUCUGUAUGAAUAUUGGGUUCGAUUAAGUUCUUUGUGUUUGAAUCAUUUUCCUUGUUUGACUUGUUUGAUUCUGAGUUUUUACCAUCUUUUAAACUCGACUAUUUUUAAAACCUUAAUUUCUUAAAAGGUUUUCUCAUUUAUUACUGUGAGUUCUUUACUUGUUUCUGACUCUCUUUACCUGUUAGACUGAUUUCUUCACUUUGGUUCUACGUGUGAUCCAUGACUGCUUGACCUUGUUGAUUACCAUGCUUUGAAUAGUCCCUAGCCUAUUCAUGUCACUCCUGUAUGUUUAUGUCCAUCUAGUUUGCUCCUUUUUGUCAAUAUGUUUGACCCUACAUGUCUAAUACACUUGUUCAUUCCCUUCUAUUUAUAUGUUGAAGUGUAAAAUCAUGACCACUUCUUGAUUGAUUUUGAUUUACUUAAGUGAUGGUUUAAUUGCAAGGUUUUCUUAUAAACCCUAAUUUUACUCGUUUGUUUAAGUUGAUUGAUUCUUUCCUUUAUUUGUUGUGAUAUUUCACCCUGCUGAACUUAGACUCAAUUAUUUACCCUAUAACUUUACAACCCUUUUUAUGGCAAGAAUCAAUCUUUCUCAAACUGAUUUCUUUCCUUAAUUGUCCCUGUCAGUAUCCCUUUGAAUAGUAAUCCCUUUAUUAAAGGGAAGUACUUGUAUUAAUCGGAUUCUAAUUGUGAUUAUUGCCAUAUUUGUAUCAAAUCUUUACUUGUUACCUUAUUUUCUACUUGUUUUCAAAGCUAUAAAAACCCUACCCUCUCUUGUUUAAAGACACAAAUAAUUGAGUUCAGAACACACACUUACACACUCAAAACUCUCUCUUUCUCUACUACUACUUGUGCUACUACUUUGUCUAGCCGGCUGAAAGCUAAGGCUAGACUGUGGAAUCCUACUUGCCUUAUCUUUCUGUAGUUUGCUUCUUUAACUGGUAUGUCCUAGUUUAAUUUUAAAGCUUCAACAACAACAUGCUUCUUUAUUUGUUUCAGUUUCCCUCAUUUUUUCUGCAUGUGGUUCUGUUAAGUUACAUUACCAGCAUACUAUAAUGUUUCCCCUUCCCUUUAGAUUAAUGCAUGUAUGUCUCCAAGCAUGCCCUAUCAAUCACUUAUUGUGUACUUAUCAUCCCAAUCCCCUAUCUCUUCAAUGAGUUUAUGUUCUUUGUGACUAGCAUGUGAUCAUGCCAGUAUCAGCUAUUGAUGUGUAUGUCCUACUAGUCCUAAGACCCUUGAUGGGGUUAUAUGUUGCAAUCAAUGUUUGUGUAUCCCCAGUCCCUUGACCCCUUUGUGUGAUUAUUAAUUCUGUAUGUUAUCUCAUCUUGGGAGUUUUGAGUUUUAUGUACUACUACAACUGAUUUCAAUCACCUAUGUUACUGACCGCUUUCAAAAUGGACUAUCAGCCCAGCUUUUUUAAAAGCAAAUCCCUUUCAACAUGUGUUCUGCACUUUCACUAUACUCUUAGAAUCUAGGUUCUUCCCCUCUUGUGUGAGCCUUGCUUGGGACCCUUGAGCUCCCUCUGAACCUGGACACAUAAGGGAUGGCUCUUCCACACUACACUUACUCUAUUUGGUUAUGCAAAUCUAGGUGUAAGCACUGCCCGGGAUCCCUUGAGGUCCUUAGGAAACUCUGACACACCUAGACAUGAGAAGGUAUUGGAACAACAUUUGGCAUUUGAGGUGGUUUAUUCCAUAACUCAUAGAGGAAGUCAGAAUCAGGCUUCCUAUGGUUGUAACUUCUUAUUUUUGCAUUUCUUAUGUAAUUCAAUCAUUCGGUCUGUAAUAAUUUGUAAACAAGUAUGGGGUUGGCUAGUGAAAAGGGAGAGGAAAUAUGCAUGCUAUAUUUAUUAAAGGGCAGAAAACAUGUUCCUAGGUUUACAUUCCUACUUGCGCAAUAGAAAUCAUGCUUAAGACUCAUUGCAUGCAUUAGAGAUCAUGCUCCUUAGGACUUACACUUACUGUUUUCAGCAUGUCCAUUUCACUAACAUAUCACUUAUAAAAUCCUGCAUUAAUACUGGUGUUUUUGCAAUCAUGUUCCUACUGCCAUUUACACUUUGAGAUCCUGUUUAGGCUGAACAACACUAACAAACAUAUCAUCUCUGCAUAUUCUAGAAAUCNNNNNNNNNNNNNNNNNNNNNNNNNNNNNNNNNNNNNNNNNNNNNNNNNNNNNNNNNNNNNNNNNNNNNNNNNNNNNNNNNNNNNNNNNNNNNNNNNNNNNNNNNNNNNNNNNNNNNNNNNNNNNNNNNNNNNNNNNNNNNNNNNNNNNNNNNNNNNNNNNNNNNNNNNNNNNNNNNNNNNNNNNNNNNNNNNNNNNNNNNNNNNNNNNNNNNNNNNNNNNNNNNNNNNNNNNNNNNNNNNNNNNNNNNNNNNNNNNNNNNNNNNNNNNNNNNNNNNNNNNNNNNNNNNNNNNNNNNNNNNNNNNNNNNNNNNNNNNNNNNNNNNNNNNNNNNNNNNNNNNNNNNNNNNNNNNNNNNNNNNNNNNNNNNNNNNNNNNNNNNNNNNNNNNNNNNNNNNNNNNNNNNNNNNNNNNNNNNNNNNNNNNNNNNNNNNNNNNNNNNNNNNNNNNNNNNNNNNNNNNNNNNNNNNNNNNNNNNNNNNNNNNNNNNNNNNNNNNNNNNNNNNNNAAACAAUUUUACUCAGUCCUUAUGACCAACUGGCAAUAAUUCUAUGUACUGAACACCUAGGACAACAUGCUUUAGGUAAUAAAAGUAAUCUCCAAACUAUCUUAAUAACUUGGAAAAACUGCUGCACCUCGCUUUGCGCCUAGGCAAGCCUUAGGUAAUAAUGAUAAAAUUGUAAUUGCCUUUGUUUAAUUAUCAACUGCUACAACCAGCAGGAAUGCCUGAUUCAGACUUUUUUCUCAGUUAUAUAAUGAAUCUGGUUCUGACUUAAACAUCCUACCGUAGGAUUUUAAAUUCAGACCUUAACUGUGUAUAAGUCAUGUUGUUUACGUGCAUUAUUUUGGAGGUAUAACUGAGCCUUCUAUCUGCUUACAUGUUUCCCCCUAAUUGUAGUCUUAUAUGUUUUUGUAUGUCGCUUUAGCAUUUUCACCUUUAAACCUGAGGUUUGCCUAGAACCUCCUUCUUCUAGGAAUAAGAGUCCUAAAAUUCCUCAGGGACUAAUAGGAAGGGAUGGGUAGUAGCAUGCAAUAAGAGUCGAGACCAAUCAUCGCUCUAAUUACCUUUAUAGGGUGGGAAAGGGUAGAUAUAGAUAUGAUGACCGGUGCGCUAAUACCACAUGUAUCCCCUCUUUUGAGGAGUGUCAUACCGGGUAUUGCAUCGAUGUGAUCCAUAUUACAAACAAACCUAGGACACCUCUUUCCCCUUUUUCUUACAUUCAUAAGCAUGCUUUAGAUUGUAACUCUUUUCAAAAUUUAUCCCUUUCAAUAAUUGUUUUCAAACUUUUGUGUGUUUAAACUUAAAUCCCCUCUAUUUGAGCCAUUACUUGUCUAUUUGUACAAAUUCAUAAAAAUUGUCUGGCCGGGAACCACACUAGUGGAUCCUGAGGGGUGCCUAACACCUUUCCCUUGGGAUAAUUUCAAGCCCUUACCCUAUCUCUGGUUACCAAACAUAGUUAGAAAUGAACCUUAUAGGUGUCCCAAUGCGCCUUAAAUCAUUAGGUGGCGACUCUUCAAAAUGCAAACCCCGUUCCCAAAAGGAAUUAGUUGUCCCAUACCGAAUGUCACAAACCCAAUUUUCUGAUGUGAAGAGGAAAAAAGGGGGCGCAACAGCAUGACGACUCUGCUGGGGAUAGCCAGGCUUUUACCAUUUCAUACCGUUUUUGUGAAUUUGUACCCCUUUAUGUGCAAUUAUUUGUUUAAUUUCUUUAAGCAUUUAUUUUGUUCUUCAACUGCAAAACUGACAUAUCUUUCUUGUUUCCUUCCUUUGUAACUGCUUUAAAUUUAUGAAACUGUUGUAUUUAUCGCUUUCUUAAUGUGCAAAUACAUGUCAACAUGCUUUUAAUUAUUGCAUAAUCAUGUUCAACAUUAUACUCCACUCGUGCCAAACAAAUACUAUAGCAACUCUUGAUGAGUGGUUGCGCUCUUCCUAUAUCAUUACCCUCUAAAUUCGGAAAGGCAUAUUUGCGGUAAAACUAGUCGAUCAGUGGUGCAAUCAACAUUUCCAUGUCUUCCUCCUUGAGUUGUUCGCUCAAGGGUACCAGUCUAAAACCCCAUAUGAACCUUACUCUGUUUAAAAUUGUGCAUGCAUCAUGGUCAAACCUCGUCGGAUCAGUUAUGUUAUCCACGUAAUGAUCCUUUAAGAUAGCCUUGUCCAAAAGUCCACUGGGUUUCCCUAAACCCAAACUGACAUCAUCACGUUUUGUGCAUUUAUUUGGAGAACUAAAUGCUUCAUGCUAAUUGUUGAUGAUAAAUAGUCGAGUCUGGUAGGGGUAGGGUCUAACCCUUUGGUUUUGCAAAAAAUGAGGCACGAGGUCCCCAGUUUCGGUAUGAUUAGCACGCCCCCACUCUUGCUAGACUGGUGGAGGAGUCUUCCAUCAAAUGUCCAAAUCAAUAAGUGAAAAGAGAGGGUCGUCAAAGCUAGCAAAAAGUUGGAAUAUCUGGAAUACAGUCUGCUGGAAUUGGAAGAAAAAGUGAAGAAGAGAGUCACCGACUGCCAAAACGCUUAGGGAAACGAAGGAGAACACCUAACAAAGGCAUUUUUACUGGUGAACCUAUGCGAAAUGGAGGAUCUGAUCAACGAGAGUAUCCAACCUAAGGAAGGUCCAUGUGGGACCAAAUAGAUAGGAGUUUAUCUUUUUCGCUUUAUAAAUGUAAUAAGGCCAAUGGCCAUUAGUGACUUUUAUUUCUUGUUUAUUUAGUGUCGAUCUGAGGUUCGUCUGUUUUUAUCAAUAAAAUGAGGCAUUUAGUAUUCUAAGUUCUCCAAAUCAAUUUAUCGCUAGACUUACCUCGGGCACAAAGAGGUUCCUAAAUUAGAACACGCUUUACAUUCCAGUACUAUGUGUUUAAAUAUUGCAAUACUUUUUUAUAAAUCCUCACUUACUUGAUUACCUUUUAUUUUUAUUUUUGUUUUUAUUAUUCCCCUCCCCAAAGGUUAGUUCGUGCACUCUCGCAUCAUCAUCUUACUUUACAAGGACCUUCCAUACGGGCUGUAAGCAGAGGGGCAUAUCUCAAGAAUUGGACCAUCAGGACAACCAAAGCCCGACGAGCCUCGGGGUAGCAAGGCUAAAACAAGCAUUAUUCACUGUUUUAUUUACUAAAUGAUUUUCUUCUCGCAUUUUUCAAUUUCAGCAAUAAGCUCUUCGAUGAUCAAAAAUAGUUAUUCAAUUUAUCAAAAACAUGUUUGAUUUUCUUACAAGUUAAUAUUUAUUGCUAUCUCUCCUUACUUUAUCCAUACAACAUUACUAUUACUUAUCUUGAUGAACCAAUGACUGUUACAUGCAAUGAGACAACGCAACAAACGGACAUGGAUUCAGAAGAAGAUGACAUACCUGACGAGAUUAUUAAGGAAGUUGAGAAUUUUGAGAACAGACCUAAGUCCAACCUGGACAAGACCAAAAUUGUCAACCUAGGAGAUGUAGAAAACGUCAAGGAAACACGAAUCAGCGUUUACCUAUCGCCAUCAGAAAACAAAAAAUACACAGAAUUUCUAAAGAAGUAUGAGGAUAUAUUCGCCUGGUCAUAUGAUGACAUGACCGGUCUGAGUACGUCUAUUGUGGCUCACAAACUGCCCACCGAUCCAAUGUGUCCGGCGGUAAAGCAAAAGCUCAGAAAGUUCAAGCCUGAUAUGAGUUUGAAAAUCAAGGAGGAAAUCACCAAGCAGGUCAAAGCUAAGGUUCUCAGUGGUAGUAGAAUACCCGACAUGGUUAGCCAACAUUGUUCCAGUGCCAAAGAAGGAUGGGAAGGUCAGAGUCUGUGUCGACUACCGGGAUCUCAACCGGGCCAGUCCGAAAGACGACUUCCCUUUACCAAAUAUACACAUCUUGAUUGACAAUUGCGCCAAGCACGAAUUAUAGUCAUUUUAGAUUGCUUCGCUGGUUAUCAUCAGAUCUUGAUGGAUGAAGAAGAUGUUGAGAAAAUAGCUUUUAUUAUGCUAUGGGGAAUGUACUGCUACAAGAUGAUGCCAUUCGGCCUGAAGAACGUAGGGGCCACCUACAUGAGGGACAUGACUACCAUUUUCCAUGAUAUGAUACACAAGGAGAUAGAGGUAUAGGUGCAUGAUGUUAUCAUCAAAUCCAAGAAGGCCACUAACCACAUGGAAGAUCUGAGGAAGUUCUUCAAUAGAUUGCGGAGAUACAACCUGAAACUAAACCCCACAAAAUGCGCAUUUGGGGUUCCUGCUGGGAAAUUGCUUGGGUUUAUUAUAAACCACAGAGGGAUAGAACUGGAUCCGUCGAAAGUCAAAGCUAUUCAGGAACUACCACCGCCAAAGAACAAGAAAGAUAUGAUGAGUUUCUUGGGAAGGCUUAACUACAUCAGCUGAUUCAUAGCACAGUCUACAGUCAUCUGUGAGCCAAUCUUUAAGAUGUUGAAGAAGGACGCCGCUACCAAAUGGACCGAAGACUGGCAAAAGGCCUUCGACAAAAUCAAAGAGUAUUUGUCAACGCCACCAGUCUUAGUCCCUCCCGAGCUAGGUAGACCCUUAUUACUCUACCUUGCAGUAUUGGAUAGGGCUUUCGGUUAUGUUCUAAGGUAGCAUGAUGAAACGGGGAGGAAGGAACAAGCCAUCUAUUAUCUCAAUAAGAAGUUCACCUCGUACGAGGCCUGGUAUUCUCUAUUGGAACGUACAUGUUAUGCUUUGACUUGGGUAGCUCAGAAGAUGAGGCACUACUUCUGCACCUAUACUACAUAUCUCAUAUUGAGAAUGGAUCCUUUGAAGUACAUAUUUUAGAAGCUCAUGCCUACUGGGAAGUUGGCCAAAUGGCAGAUACUACUAAGUGAGUUUGACAUCGUCUACGUAACUCAGAAAGCGGUCAAGGGACAGGCACUGGUAGACCUUCUUGCUGAAAACCUCGUAGAUGGAGGAUAUGAACCCCUGAAAACGUAUUUUCCUGGCGAAGAGGUAUCAUUCAUAGGAGAAGACAUUGCAGAAUCCUAUGACGGUUGGAGAAUGUUCUUCUAUGGAGCAGCAAAUUUCAAAGGAGUUGGCACAGGAGCAGUCCUAAUAUUAGAAACUGGUCAGCAUUAUCCGAUGUCUGCCAAACUCAAGUUCCCCUGCACCAACAAUAUGGCCGAAUAUGAAGCCUGCAUCUUAGGGCUUAAAAUGGCCAUUGACAUGAACGUUCAAGAGCUGCUGGUGAUUAGAGAUUCAGAUUUGCUUGUACAGCAGGUAUGAGGAGAAUGGACGACCAAGAACUCCAAGAUACUCCCAUAUCUGCACCAUGUACAGGAAUUGAGAAAGAGGUUCAUGAAGACGGAAUUCCAGCAUGUUCCCAGAAUCCAGAAUGAGUUCGCCGAUGCAUUGGCUACCCUUUCAUCUAUGAUACAGCAUCCAGACAAGAAUUUCAUUGAUCCCAUUCCAGUAAAAAACCAUGAUCAUCCAACUUACUAUGCCUAUGUCGAAGAAGAAGCAGACGGAAAGCCUUGGUUUCAUGAUAUCAAGGAAUUUUUGGCAAAAGGAGAAUACCCAGAGCUUGCAAAUCCUACUCAGAAACGCACACUUCGGAGAUUAUCCAACAACUUCUUUCAUAGUGGAGGAAUCCUGUAUAGGAGGACUCCCGAUUUGGGAUUAUUAAUAUGUGUCGACGCAAAGGAAACAUCCAGGAUACUAGAGGAAAUUCAUGCUGGGACUUCUGGUCCACAUAUGAACGGUUUUGUCUUAGCAAAGAAGAUACUCUGGGCUGGUUACUUUUGGAUGACUAUGGAAACGGACUGCAUCCAGUAUGUCCGGAAAUGUCACCGCUAUCAAAUACAUGCAGACAUGAUAAAGGUACCUCCAAGCGAGCUUCACACAACAAGCUCACCAUGGCCAUUCGCCGCCUGGGGAAUGGACGUUAUUGGACCAAUCGAACCCGCUGCUUCCAACGGACACAGGUUUAUCCUAGUAACAAUUGACUAUUUCACCAAAUGGGUUGAAGCAGCAUCCUACAGAGCAGUGACUAAGAAAGUUGUGGCAAACUUUGUCCGUGACUGCAUUGUUUGUCGAUUCGGGAUUCCAGAGUCAAUCAUUACUAAUAAUGGCUCCAACCUUAACAGUGACUUGAUGAAAGCCAUGUGCGAAAUUUUCAAGAUCAAACACAGAAAUUCCACAACCUACAGGCCUCAAAUGAAUGGGCCUAUAAAAGCCGCCAACAAGAAUAUCAAGAAUACAUUGAGGAAAAUGAUUGAAAGGCAUAAACCGUGGUACGAGAAGUUAUCAUUUGCUAUACUAGGGUAUCGCACCAUGGUCCGCACAUCAACCAGGGAAACCCCCUAUAUGCUGGUUUACGGUACAAAGGUUGUCAUUCCCACCGAGGUGCAAAUUCCUUCCCUAAGGAUCAUACAAGAAGCUGAGCUCGACGACGCAGAAUGGGUAAAAAUUUGUUAUAAGCAACUGGCCCUUAUAGACGAAAAGAGAAUGAAUGCAGUUUGCCACGGUCAACUCUAUCAUAACAGAAUGUCCAAAGCCUUCAACAAGAGAGUCAAGCCAAGACAGUUCACACUGGGGCAGCUAGUGUUAAAGAAAAGUUUUUCGCAUCAAGAUGAAGCCAAGGGGAAGUUCUCUCCCAACUGGCAGGGUCCAUACAUGGUUCACCGGAUUCUAAUAGGAGGAGCCCUCAUACUUGCAUAAAUGGACGGAGAAGUCUGGCCAAAGCCGAUCAAUUCUGAUGCAGUCAAGCGUUACUAGGUGUAAUCUUUAUGCUUUCCUCAUAUGAUGUAAAUUAAACUACACCUGACCUGAUUCCCGUUUAAGAGGGGAUACAUAGGUAGCCCUAUGGGUUCUAUCACAGCUCAAUAAAAAUUUUAUUUUCCCCCGCAAUUGGAAACUGGGGCAGAAUUUUGAGGAGGAUCCUCAAAAUUCUGAAGUGAUUUUAGCUAAUCGCCGCACGAGCAGCAGUCAGAAAGGUCAACCCAUCAAACUGAGGCAAAAUUUUGAGGAGGACCCUCAAAAUUCCGUAGCAGAAGAGGUUGCAAUGUCCCGAGCUACGUCACAAUCGUCGGUUCAUCUAAAAUCUAUUUUCAAUUAUACACUUAUGUCAUACUUUUACAAAAUCAUGCAUGUUUAUUAUUGAAAUUGCUUUGUUUAGCAACGCUACCCCAAUGAUACAGACGGUAUCACCAGAUAAAAGCCGAAUGAGUCAACCAAAGCCAGUAGGAAUACGAACUAACCUUCCCCUUUACAAAACUCAUGAUUUUUCUGUGGAUGCAGGCAUUAGGAUUGCAAACAUAUUGUACGCCCAUGAAACAAACAUUGUUCAAGAAAACGAUUCUCAGAACCGUUGCACUUGCAAACAUUUGCUAUCAGCAUACACCAGUGAUAUCCCCUAUGUCACAAUGCUCCCAGUAAUCACAAUGCCGCAAUCUUCUAUCAGCUAAGAAAACUAUACUGCCAUUGUUAUUUUAUUUCUUGCAUAAGGCUACCAUUCUGCCUUCUGAGACUAAACGUUGUCUCCAUCUGUAUUGCAUAAGGCUACUAUUCUACCUUCCAACUUGCAUAAGGCUACCAUUCUGCCUUUCAAGACUAAACGUUGUCUCCAUCUACAUCUGUAUUACAUAAGGCUACUAUUUUUCCUUCCAACUUGCAUAAGGCUACCAUUCUGCCUUCCGAGACUAAACGUUGUCUCCAUCUGCGUUCGCAUCUUUGUAUAAGGCUACCAUUCUACCUUUCGAGGUUAAGUUCUACCUCCAUCUGCAUUCGCAUUUUUGCAUAAGGCUACCAUUCUGCCUUCCAAUCUGCAUAAGGCUACCAUUCUGCCUUUCNNNNNNNNNNNNNNNNNNNNNNNNNNNNNNNNNNNNNNNNNNNNNNNNNNNNNNNNNNNNNNNNNNNNNNNNNNNNNNNNNNNNNNNNNNNNNNNNNNNNNNNNNNNNNNNNNNNNNNNNNNNNNNNNNNNNNNNNNNNNNNNNNNNNNNNNNNNNNNNNNNNNNNNNNNNNNNNNNNNNNNNNNNNNNNNNNNNNNNNNNNNNNNNNNNNNNNNNNNNNNNNNNNNNNNNNNCAGUUCCCUCAACCAUAUCAAACCUAACCAUUCCUGUAAAGUUAUGACUCACCCGGCCCUAGAUAUUGCGUCCGUUCUUGAAAAGUCUUCAUCGGCAUACUUUGCCGAUGGAUCCUGAAAUACAUACGGCCUGAUUCCUGUAAAACCAGGGAUAUGUAGAUAGCUCAUAAUCCAGGGUGCGGCCUAACCUCUUCAAAACCGUUUCGCUGGUCAAAAUUGGUCAUCAUAUCUUUACUCGACAACACUUUCAUUCUUCCCGGGUAAAGAGGGCAGCUGUUGAUACCUAAUUUUUCCCGAUAUAUUUUCAAUAAGCAAAAUAACUUCAAAAUAGCAUAUAUAUGCAUAUGUAAGCAUGUCAAAGGAUUUUAUUAAUUUUCCACAAUUUUAAAGGUUUUUAAUGGAUUUAUUUCCCCCUUUGUUUAUACAUAAAAUCCCAAUAAUUAUUUCCAAAAUUUACUAUCUUGAUAAUUAAUCUAUUGGAUUUUUAUAUUUAUGCCAAAAUAUGGCUAAAUUAAUUUUUACAUAUUUUUACAAUUUCAUUUAGUAUUUUAAAGCUAAACUGCACAUAAUUGCAAUAUUAGUCAUUUUAAGACUUAAUUGUGUUUUAUAUUCAUAAAAUUGAGUCUUAUAUUUUUUCAUUGUUAAUUAUGUACUGAAAAUCAUUUUAUCCCUUUCAAUUUAGUUUUCAAAAACUAUUUAUUAUUUUUAUAAAUUUAAAAGGAAAAACUGGCUAUUUAAAUAAUAACCCCUUUUGCAUUUCAAUUAUAACCUAAUUGAACCCUAAUUCCCCAGCCCAAUUUUAAUUUAAACCCAACCCUUACCUAAUUAAAUCCUACCCAAACCCGGAUCCCCACCUGUCCCUUUUAAUCUAGGCCGUUGAUCAUUCAAGUCAGCGACCACUGUUCCACCUUACCUUUUUUAACCCAAAACGACCCCUAACCUAAUUCAUUUGUUACCUACCCACCGCCCUUGAAUCCCCUCUCCUCUCAAACUCUCUCUGAAACCUAAGGCUAAACCUAGUCGCCGCCACCCAAAUCCACCCUAAACCCCUUUGAUUCUCACUCAACCCAUGGGCUCCCAUGGCUAUUUGAGACAUAUACCCGUCUCUUAUGUCUCCUGUGUGCCUGUUUUCGUGAUUUCAUGGAAAGAUCUCGAAGAGGUCUAACCCAGAUCCUGCUUAACUUCUAUCUUUGGUCUUUUUCGGCCAUCCAUGGUAGAUCCAGUCAGAUCCAUAACUUUUCCGACUAAAUUGGUAACUUUUCGAAGUUUUUCUCACUUUUCUAGGUUCUCUGAGACCCUAACCUAUUAAGAUCAUUCAAUUUUCUUUCAGAUCUACCUUAGAUCUAUGUAUGUUAUGAACCUCUUAAGUUUUUUCCUCAAAAUAUUUUCGAUUUUUUUUUCAAGCGACUCUCCGUCUUCAAAAAUUAGGGUUUCUUAAACUCUUUCUUUUAAAAAUCUCUUCUCUUAUUUUUAGUGUUGCUUUAUGAUUUUACUGUGUUCAAACGAUUUGUUUACGCUUUUCUUCUACAUGAUUCAGCAUGUUGAAAACCCUAAGCAUCUUUGAUUUUAUCUGAGGUUUUGGAACUGCCUUUAUUUGUUCUGUAUGAAUAUUGGGUUCGAUUAAGUUCUUUGUGUUUGAAUCAUUUUCCUUGUUUGACUUGUUUGAUUCUGAGUUCUUACCAUCUUUUAAACUCGACUAUUGUUAAAACCUUAAUUUCUUAAAAGGUUUUCUCAUUUAUUACUGUGAGUUCUUUACUUGUUUCUGACUCUCUUUACCUGUUAGACUGAUUUCUUCACUUUGGUUCUACGUGUGAUCCAUGACUGCUUGACCUUGUUGAUUACCAUACUUUGAAUAGUCCCUAGCCUAUUCAUGUCACUCCUGUAUGUUUAUGUCCAUCUAGUUUGCUCCUUUUUGUCAAUAUGUUUGACCCUACAUGUCUAAUACGCCUGCUCAUUCCCUUCUAUUUAUAUGUUGAAGUGCAGAAUCAUGACCACUUCUUGAUUGAUCUUGAUUUCCUUAAGUGACGGUUUAAUUGCAAGAUUUUCUUAUAAACCCUAAUUUUACUCGUUUGUUUAAGUUAAUUGAUUCUUUCCUUUAUUUGCUGUGAUAUUUCACCCUGCUAAAUCCUUUCCCAAAAUUAAGUAUAUUUUGUACUUAGACUCAAUUAUUUACCCUAUACCUUUACAACCUCUUUUAUGGCAAGAAUCAAUCUUUCUAAAACUGAUUUCUUUCCUUAAUUAUCCCUGUUAGUAUCUGUUUGAACUGUAAUCCCUUGAUUAAAGGGAAGUACUUGUAUUAAUGAGAUUCUAAUUGUGAUUAUUGCCAUAUUUGUGUCAAACCUUUACUUGUUACCUUAUUUUCUACUUGUUUUCAAAGCUAUAAAAACCCUACCAUCUCUUCUUUAAAGACACGAAUAAUUGAGUCCUGAACACACACUUACACACUCAAAACUCUCUCUUUCUCUACUACUACUACUUGUGCUACUACUUUGUCUAGCCGGCUGAAAGCCAAGGCUAGACUGUGGAAUCCUACUUGCCUUAUCUUUCUGCACUUUGCUUCUUUAACUGAUAUGUCCUAUUUUAAUUUUAAAGCUUCAACAACAAUAUGCUUCUUUAUUUGUUUCAAUUUCCCUCAUUUUUUCUGCUUGUGGUUCUAUUAAGUUACAUUACCAGCAUGUUAUAAUGUUUCCCCUUCCCUUUAGAUUAAUGCAUGUGUGUCUCCAAACAUGCCCUAUCAAUCAAUUAUUGUGUACUUAUCAUUCCAAGCCCCCUAUCCCUUCAAUGUGCUUAUGUUCUUUCUGAAUAGCCUGUGAUCAUGCCAGUAUCAGUUAUUGCUGUGCAUGUCCUACUAGUCCUAAGACCCUUGAUGGGGUUAUAUGUUGCAGUCAAUGUAUGUGUAUCCCCAGUCCCUUGACCCCUUUGUGUGAUUACUGAUUCUGUAUGUGAUCUCAUCUUGGGAGUUUUGAGAUCUAUUUACUACUACAAUUGAUUUCAAUCACCUUUGUUACUGACUGCUUUCAAAAUAGACUAUCAGUCCAGCUUUUUUUAAAAACAAAUCUCUUUCAACAUGUGUUCUGCAAUUUCACUAUACUCUUAGAACCUAGGUUCUGCCCCUCUUGUGUGAGCCUUGCUUUGGGACUCUUGAGCUCCCUCUGAACCUGGACACAUAAGGGCUGGCUCUUCCACACUGUACUUAUUCUAUUUGGUUAUGCAAAUCUGGGUGUGAGCACUGCCCGCGAUCCCUUGAGGUCCUUAGAGAACUAUAACACACCUAGACAUGAGAAGGUUUUGGAACAACAUUUGGCAUUUGAGGUAGCUUAUUCCAUAACUCAGAGAGGAAGUCAGAAUCAGGCUUCCUAUGGUUGUAACUUCUUAUUUUUGCAUUUCUUAUGUAAUUUAAUCAUUCGGUCUGUAAUAAUUUGUAAACAAAUAUGGGGUUGGCUAGUGAAAAGGGAGGGGAAAUAUGCAUGCUAUAUUUAUUAAAGGGUAGAAAACAUGUUCCUAGGUUUACAUUCCUACUUGCGCAAUAGAAAUCAUGCUUAGGACGCAUUUCAUGCAUUAGAGAUCAUGCUCCUUAGGACUUACACUUACUAUUUUUAGCAUGUCCAUUUCACUAAUAUAUCACUUAUAAAAUCCUGCGUUAAUACUGGUAUUUCUGCAAUCAUGUUCCUACUUCCAUGUACAAUUAGAGAUCCUAUUUAGGCUAAACAACACUAACAAACAUAUCAUCUCUGCAUUUUCUAGAAAUCAUGUUUAGAUGCUGUAAUAUUUGUGCAUAUAGAAAUCCUACUUAGGAUUCUGCAUACACAUCAUUCUGCAUCUCCGUACAUUAGAUAUCAUGUCUUUAUCAUUUCAUGCAUAAAAGGGAAUAAAACAACUUUACUUAGUACUUUACGACCAACUGGCAAUAAUUCUAUGCGAUGAACACCUAAGACAGCAUGCUUUAGGUAAUAAAAGUAAUCUCCAAACUGUUUUAAUAACUUGGAACAACUGUUGUACCUCGCUUUGCGCCUAGGCAAGCCUUAGGAAAUAAUGAUAAAACUGGAAUUGCCUUUAUUUAAUUAUCAACUGCUACAACCAGCAGGCAGGCCUGAUUCGGACUUCCUUUUUAUGUUAUAUAAUGAAUUUGGUUCUGACUUAAACAUCCUGCCUUAGGAUUUUAAAUUCAGACCUUAAUUGCGUAUAAGUCAUGCUGUUUACGUGCAUUAUUUGUGGAGGUAUAACUGAGCCUUUUAUCUGCUUACAUGUUUCUCCCUAAUUGUAGUCUUAUAUGUUUUUGUAUGUCGCUAAACAUUUUCACCUUUAAACCUGAGGUUUGCCUAGAACCCCUUCUUUUAGGAAUAGGAGUCCUAAAAUUCCUCCAGGACUAAUAGGAAUGGCCGGGUAGUAGCAUGCAAUAAGAGUCGAGACCAAUCAUCGCUCUGAUUACCUUGACGGGGUAGGAAAGGGUAGAUAUCGAUAUGAUGACCAAUGCACUAAUACCACGUGUAGCCCCUCUUUUGAGGAGUAUCAUACCGGGUAUUGCAUCGAUGUGAUCCAUAUUACAAACAAACCUAGGACACCCCUCCCCCCUUUUCUUACAUUCAUAAGCAUGUUUUAGAUUGUAACUCUUUUCAAAUUUAUCCCUUUCAAUAAUUGUUUUCAAACUUUUGUGUGUUUAAACUUAAAUCCCCUCUAUUUGAGCCAAUACUUGUCUAUUUGUACAAAUUCAUAAAAAUUGUCUAGCCGGGAACCACACUAGUAGAUCCUUAGGGUGCCUAAUACCUUCCCCUUGGGAUAAGCCCUUACCCUAUCUAUUGUUACCAAACAUAGUUAUAAAUGAACCCUAUAGGUGUCCUAAUGCGCCUUAAAUCAUUAGGUGGUGACUCUUCAAAUUGCAAACCCCAUUCCCAAAGGAAUGAGUUGUCCCAUACCGAAUGUCACGAACCCGAUUUUCCGAUGCGAAGAGGAAAAAAGGGGGCACGACACCUCGUCAACUGCGAACAUUUCCUUUGUUUCAUGCUGCUCCCCGAACACUAUUUUCACUCCAUUCGAUGUUAGGAAUUUCAUCAUUUGGUGGUGAGUUGAUAGAACCGCCCUCAUGUUGUGAAUCCAGGGCCUUCCGAGUAGGGCAUUGUAUCUCAUGUCGCCCUCGAUCACAUGGAAUUUGAUAUGUUGAAUGGUUCCAGCCACGUUCACUGGUAGAAUAAUCUCACCUUUAGUUCUUUCACCAGCCAUGUUGAAGCCAUUUAAGACUCGAGCUACGGGCAAAAUUUGAUCUUGUAGGCCGAGUUGCUACACGACCCUUGAUCGGAUAAUAUUCGCUGAACUACCUGGAUCCACUAAAACACGCUUAACUUUAAAUUUAUUUAGUAAGAUAUAAAUUACCAGAGCGUCAUUGUGUGGUUGAGAAAUGCCAUUUGCUUCUAUUUCAUUGAAUGAUAAGGAGCCCUUGGGCACAUAAUCUCGGGUCCGCUUCUCCCUAGUGAUAGCUACCUUUGUGCGUUUGAAUACAAGCCCUUGUGGAAUUCGACCCCACCAACGAUCAUAUGAAAGACAUGUUGUGGUUUUUCCCGUUCAUUUUUCCUAUUGGUAACCCUGUCCCUGUCCCUGAAAUGGUUCUUGGCUCGAUCACUAAGGAACUCUCGAAGGUGGUCCUCAUUGAAUAGGUGGGCUACCUCCUCCCUUUGCCUGCAAUCCUCGGUCUUGUGGCCAUGCGUGCCAUGAUACUUGCACAUCAAAUUUGGGUUUCUUUGGGAAGGAUCAGUGUGUAUGGGCCUGGGCCACCUAGUAUUUUUUAUCCUUCCGAUUGCCGAGACAAUGCCUGAUGCAUCGACGCUAAAGUUAUACUCCGAUAACCGAGGUACCUCUACGGGAUCGGUAUGCUUAUCAAAACCACUCUUGCUUAUAAGUUCGCUAGAAUUUUGUCCUCAGUCGUUUCUUCGAUCAUUCCGAGUAAGAUUGCGCCCCAAGCCACUAUUUCUUCGAUCUGCGAUAUACGGCUGAUAUCGUUCUCUGUUCGACCUUGUCUCCCUGUCGAUGUCCCUCGGGGCUUUAACUGCCAGCCUGUUUGGAUGUACUGAACUGGAGGGGGCUCCUAUAUGGUCGUCCCCGAUCCUGAUCUUCGAUUGAAAUCGAUUGUGUACGUCUGCCCAAGUUACAGCUGGAUACUCGACCAAAUUUUGCUUCAACUAUCGUAAUGCUAUCGUACUCCGCUCGUUCAACCCCUGGGUGAAAGCUUGAAUAACCCAAUCAUCUAUGACCGAUGGUAAUUCCAUGCGCUCUAUUUGAAAUCGGGACACGAACUCCCUCAGUAUUUCAUUAUCCCUUUGUCUUAUCUUAAAAACAUUCGAUUUUCUUGUUGCAACCUUUAUGGCCCCAGCGUGUGCCUUCACAAAAGAAUCUACUAACAUGGCAAAUGAAUCGACGGAAUUUGGUGGCAAGUUGUAAUACCAAAUCAUUGCUCCCUUUGAUAGAGUUCCCCAAAUUAUUUCAACAAAACGGACUCGAUCUCAUCGUCUUCUAAGUCAUUUCCCUUUAUCCCGCUUGUGUACGUAGUGAUAUGUUCAUUAGGAUAGGUGGUCCCAUUGUAUUUCGGUAUAUCUGGCAUACGGAACUUCUUUGAAAUGGGCUUCAGAGUUGCACUCUGAGGAAAAGGCUUCUGCAUGAACGUUUUUGAAUCCAAAUCCUUAAGAUCGGGGGUGCCUCCAGUAUCUGAUCAACUCAGGAGUUGUAUGUUUUCACUUUUUUGUCAUUAUCUUCGAUUUUCUUUUCUCCCGACUCGAUUCUUUUGGUAAGCUCAUCGAGCAUUUUUCAUAAUUGUAGGAUCAGUCCCUGGUCCGUUACUAUUCGUCCUUUCCGGUACUGGCUCAGUACAGCGAGUGAUUUCUGACUCAACCAUACUAGGAGUUCUAUGUUGACUCUAAAGCUACGACAAUAGUGGCAUGUUGAGCCUGUAGCAUCUCGAAUAUUACCUGGACACUAAAUCUCUCAUCUCCUACACCCUGUGUUCUUUGGCCACCAGAUCGGCCUUCCCUGCGCACACUCCCUCUGGGGUCUGUAGCUAAGUCCGCGUUCAAGGCAAUGUGCGAACUAACAUCGACUGGAUCGGCAAUCGGCACUUCCCCAGGGUUAAUCGGUGGUACACCGUCUCCUGGAGCAAUUACAUUAUCGUUUUCCCCGUGAAAUCCAAGACCAUCAUGGCCAUGCACGAGUGCGUUUUGUGAGUUUGACUUAUUUUAACCCGAGAACAAAAUUCUUGACAAGAACAAGUAUGAAAAUAAUGUGUGUUAUCAGAAUCAGUACUCAAACAAUCACUAUUAUCCUUAGCUCUACGGUGGGCGCCAAACUGUUUACCCUAAAAUCUGAGUAACAAUUAAACUUAUAUUGUGGUUUUAAAAAUACGUGAUUUAGUACAAUACCAAUUGAUAAACAAGGAAUUAAAUAUCUAAAUUGAAGAAAUAAAGCAAGUCAAACCAAUGUGCAAACCAAAUCUUGACCUCGAGUUAUGGUGAGGUAGGUUAGCAAGAACAACAAAAUUGUAAGGCAACUCUGAUGAACAGUAAGCAAGAAAGUGUAGAAUGUAUAUUUCUUUGUCAAUGAAUCGUGUGUUACAAAUGAAUGAGCUCCCCUUUAUAUAGUAGGGGGUCCUAAAUAAGGUACACUUCUAAUUACAGUAAGGAAUCUUAUUGGAGCUGUCUACCUGCCAAGUGCAAAUCCGUUCCGGAAUUUACGCCAGAUCUUCGGUCCGUUGCGGGAAUCACGCUCUUUCUGUUAUUAAACCAUAACGGUAUUAUCUCGAGGUUGGUCGUACUCGGCCUUGGUUUUCAUCGAGCACUUCGAUCUUCAAGUUCUAUACUCCGCCAUCGGGCUCGAGCCAUGUCUAUUUUGAGCUUUCUCUCGAAGCAGCUCCCCGAGCCUACAAAAUCGGGUAUUACCUGAUUUCGACCGUACACAAUAUUAUUUUGAACCGUUCAAAAUCUUUUUCUUUUUAAAUUCAAUUUAGUUAUAGCUCUAUAAAGUUAGGCUCAAUAAUAUUAAAAGUUUUCAACUCAGGGGCAAGAUGUUGGGACCAGGAAGCAUGUAGAAGAGACACAGACACCUCGAUUUGCUAUACUAACCAAAAAUUGUGCGCAUAUGCAUAUUCUUUUAAGGAAAUGCUCUAAUUAAAGAUACAGGGUUUAAAAAAACAUGUAAAUAAAAUUUUGAUCAACCAAAACAAAAGAAAAUAAUGGAAGAUAAAUGGACUACACGCAAGACUAUGAAUUUUACUGCAAACAGCAGGUUAGCCUAUGAUUAUUAAAAUUAAUAGAAAAUAUGGAGACAAGUGUGUGUUAGACAUUGUACAAAGACCUAUAGCGCAUACACUUAUGUGUUAGACAAGUGUGUGUUAGACAUUAAUAUUAAACCAUGUAUUCUUCUAUUUUUCUUUUUUCCUUAGGUUUUAUUAGUUCUGUAAUUUUCAGUUUUUAUCCAUUAAUUUUUACUCUCUCCAUUUAAAGAAUGACCCAUUUUCAUAUUUAGAAACAAUUUACCUUCAUGCAAUGAUUUAUAUCAACACAAAUAUAUGUGCCUCAUUUUAUACCACAAGUUCAAAAGUUUUCAGUUUUUUCUUAAACUUUGUAUCCAGUCAAAUAGGUUCACAUAAAUUAAAAUAGAGAGAGUAUAUUUUUUGUAAAAUUUUUUGGGGGUUUUCAUUAAUUUUAUUUUUCCUAUAUGUUUUGUAAUUUUAAUUUUCAGAAUUUCUGGAAUUUUCAGAAUCUCUGGUAAUUUUUUGAAUUUUUAGAAUUUUUAGAAUUUCUGGAUUUUUUUUAUUUUUGGAAAUUUCUUAUUUCUGGGAUCUUUUCUAAUUUUUUUUUAAACAUAAUAUAUAGUUGUUAAAGCUACUUUUUAUUAAGUAGUCUUUUGUGAAUUAACAUGUACUAAUUAGUCGUUCGUAAAUUAGCUUGUUCCACAUAUUUAUUUGUUAGUUUGCAACUAUAGAAUUGUUAGAUUAUCGUACAUUAUAUGUUGUUAGAUUAUUUUACUGUCACGAUCCAAAUUCCAUCAAGGGAUUAUAAUGGCACCUAACCCCUAAGACUAGGUAAGUCAAUCACACAAGAAUAUAAAACAUGAAAUAAGAUAUAAUAAAACCGAAUUUAACAUAAAAUACGAAAUAAAGCUCCAACACAACCAAACAUUGGUACACAAGCCAAACUCCCCAAAAUCCACUAAUACUAAGUCAUGAACUCUAAUCAGAAUACAUAAUGAGUAUCAAUAAGUACCAUAUUGUUUGAAAGUAGUACAAUAAUAAGAAAAUAACAGAAGGGGACUCUAAGGGUCUGCGGCGUCCAUGCAAUACUACCUUAAAUCCUCUCAAACGGUCCAAACUCAUUACUGAAGAUCGCUACCACCAGCACCCAGAUCUGCACAAAAAAUAUGUAGAAACAUAGUAUGAGUACCGGUAAACAUGUACUUAGUAAAUAUCUUGACUAACCUCGAUGAAGUGGUGACGAGGUUCAAGUCAUGUGAUACUCACUUGUCACGCCCCAAAAUCAAGGAGUGCGACCGGCGCUCAACCGAGUAAAUCCGACUGAGCAAACCUGUUAGAUUUUAUUCUACCCAAAAUUCAUUUUUGAAUAAAGAGGAGAUAUACUCCCUUAAUCAUAAUCUGAAAAUAUUUCAUUAACAACUUCCAUUUCAUUUCCAUUAUCAGCUUCAACCAUAAUUUUCAAAAUAUUACAAUUUUAUAGAUAUGAUGAAAAACAUGCUUGCCAAUUACCAAUAUUUAUAAUUCAAUUCCCAAUAUCAAACACUACCUACAACCUCUCUAUGGAGACUCUAAAUACAAUUGGAGAGUAAUAUGAAAAUACUGGCGACAAGGAUCCGGCUAUACCUCAAAAUACAAAGCACGUGAGAAACAAAAGAUACAAGAUCCCGAAAUGAAGUAGGACUCACCUAGUCAGCUAAAAAGAGUAUACCGCUAUCACUGAACGACGCCGCCUGUUGUGGAACCACCUGUAUCAAUUAAAGAUACAGCGCCCCCGACAAAAGAGACGUUAGUGCCAUCGAAUAGUACUAGUAUGCAUAGCUAAAAGUCCUCUUUCAAAAUAGAAUGACCAUAUAAUAAAGGAAAACCAUAGAAACAGCAAGUCACAAUCAACAAUAUCCAAAUGACCAAUUGAAACAUAACGAUUUUCAAAGUACGAAAAUAAUAUAUAUAGUUUUGGUUGGGAAAUCAUUAGCACUGAUAUACCACCAUCUUUGUUAGCACGGAGUACGAUCACGCCGGAUCACCUAGGCCAUCUCCCCACGGACAAUGUGGUUUGACAUGAUGAUGCGAAAGAAAGUAGUUACAAUAGUAGUACCACCAUAUGCGCAACAUGGCAUCCGAUCUCCACACGAUCAACUAGGCCGCCUUCCCACAUAUGCCGUGUGGGUUGGCUUUUCUUUUCCAAUUCACAGGCACUAGUUUCAUCCCAAUUUAGGGAAUAAUCGCAAUUUUAUCAAUAUUUCAAUUUUUAUCCCAAAUGAGGGGAAUAAUCACAAUCCACUCCUACACCCGUAUGUGUAGUUUUAGGUGUGGGCCUUAUGACCCACCCUUCCUUAGUUUUGCUAAUGAUACUCCCAAAAAUAUUUUUAGUUUGAUUUGCACACAAAGAUAACAUAAAUAGAAAUGUAUUCAUCUCAGAAUCUUUCACAUUUAUAGAUCUUUAUUAGUAUUUUCAACAAUCCACAUUAACACUAUUUUCUUGGCUCUUUGGGCCUUACACAAGAUUCUUUAUCCAUGUCACGAUGACCGCAUUUUAUAUAUUCCAUACUUUCACUUCUUUUAAUUUCAAGGAUCGCCACCAAAUAUCAACAUAUAAAAUAUUUCAGAAAUCGUAUACCUCAAGUUCAUUAGUAAUGAAAACUUUAAACACAAAGGAUUCUUCCCAAAAAAGGGGACAUACCAACCAGCAAUAGAAAUGCACAUCAAAUACAUAAACAAGCCAUACAUCAAUUAUUCCUGAAUUACUCUUUUCCAAUCAUGACAAUGUACAAUUUCAACACCGGAGUAUGUAAUAACGCGAUUCACAUUGGAUGUAUUUAUAAGGUAAAGCAUUAUCUAAACCAACCACUUAUGGGCAUAAAUUGAGUACAAAAACCUUUAGGUCAUUCUAUUUUUGAAGUCAUUUAUGAACAGUAAAGUCGAGGCUCAGUUCAUAAUUUGUUUCACAUUUUCUCAUUUCAUUGGUAUCACUAGUCACAAUUAUAACUUAAGUUCUUGGCAGGUUGGCCACGCUCUAUUUUCCCAAUUCACAUAAUUCAUUCUCAAACAUCUUUAUAGAUUAUCAAUAACAAGACAUUAGGUACACAUAUGAGCAAUUAGGAGUCUUAAGCAUGUUGAGUUUUUCUCACCCAAUUGGUAUACUAGUUUUCAUUAAAAACACGACUCAAAGCCUUCUCAUUUUAAUAAGCAAACCAUACUUUAAACAUCUAUCCUUCGACAUAAGGCUCAUUCAGAAUAAUCAGGUUUAUAGGGGAUAAUCCGGAAUAUAGAAAUUAGGAAUUUUGAGCCAACCAUACUUGAACUUAUGGAAAAAUUUAUGGAAUUCGAUUUUAAGAGAGAAAGUUUAGCCAACAUACCUUGUUUGAGCUUUCCUUUAAGUUACUACAACGCACCAACACUUCUAGCAAUAACAAUCUAUAGGAAAAUAGAAAAAAUCGGUUAAUAAUUAGAAGGAUUUCCAUGGUGUAACUCUCCUAGUAAUUUUGUCAAGCACCUAUCAUGAAAAAAAUAUUACAUGGAUCUAAAAUUGCAAUCAUUUCCUCCUUCAACAAACUUCAACAAGAAACUACCAUAAUGGUUCAUUAAUCCCCUCAUACUAUAACUUAGUAUUACAUGUAUGGCCUAUUUCCAACCCCACAAUAUAUUUGAACUCUUAACCUCUUGUAUAAAAGCUUAGGAGUAGGACUUACCCGGAUAGAUGCUAAUCUAGUGGCUAGCUCCCUUGAUUCUUCAAGAAUUGAGCAAGAUUGUAUGAUUGGAAUGCUAGGUUUCCCCCUUCUCUCUAUAAAUUGCUCUUACCUCUCUCUAAUAACAUUAGGGAAAUAUCCCAAAAUAAGCCCCAAAGACUAUUUAUCAAAAUGGGAUUGGGUUAUGAAAAUAGGAAAAUGAAACCUCCGAAAUCAGGUUUGCAGUCAUAUAAUGAACCGCAGAACGGGUAUACGGCUCGCAGAAUGAACCGCAGAAUGGGUAUACGACCCGCAGAAUGGACCGCAAAACUGGUUCUCAGAAGUGGUCUGCACUGGGUAGGUCUGCGACCAUUUUGCGGUUCUCGGACCAUUUUUGCGGUUCGCAGAAUGAUUUUGCCGUCACAGAAUCGGAUUUUUCCAACUUUUGGUAAUUUGAGCAUAACUUUUUGGAGGAGUGUCCAAAUGACAAACGGUUUAAAGCAUUAGAAACUAGUCUCGAGAUUUAUGAUUUGAUAGGUUGUGCAUCACACACACACACACACGUAUGUGUGUGUGUGUAUGUAUGUAUGUAUAUAUGUAUAUGUGUGUGUGUGUAUUUAUGUAUGUAUGUGUGUGUGUGUGUAGAUAUGCUCGUCCAAAAUUUGGUCUUGUGCAUACUUAUUUGAAAUUUUGGUCUAUCGUGUAAUUUUCUAACUUGGCUUAGACUUAUACCUCUCCGUAGACCCCAAAUCACUUAUAAUAUGACUUAUACACUUAUUACCAUAUCCAGAUGAUGUCCAUCAUAUUAAUAAUCCUUGUUUGCACACAAAAUAAAAUGAUUAGCCUACCUUGGCACCACGAAAUCUAAACUUACUUAGUGAAAUUUUCUGGGACCUUACAUUCUCCCCCGCUUAUGAUCAUUUGUCCUCGAAUGAGAAGUAGAGUCUGCCCCAAACACUUAACAUAACUUAUUUCUUUUAUCACAUACCUCAAAUCUCGAAAUUUUGACUAACUCCUAAAUUUUUCAAAAAUUUUGGCAGAGUCUCCUUUGUAAUUGGGGCUAUCCACCUGCCAGAGAAU